AACCUGUGAUGUAAAUUAACCCAUUUACUGAACUACAUUGAUUAUUUCAGUAAAAU
rnacentral:snRNA from 1 species